AUCUUGCCGUUUUCGCUAAGA
rnacentral:siRNA from 1 species